GCCAUCUUAGCUCAGCUGGUAGAGCAACGGUUUUGUAAACCGUCGGUCCGGAGUUCGAAUCCCCGAGAUGGCUCAA
rnacentral:tRNA from 1 species